UAAGUGCCGUCAGCUUGUGGUUCAGCUUUGGUUUUUACCUGACCUAAGUCUGUACCACAUUGAGGUUCGGUUAAGCACAUUGUGCCGCUCCAUGUACCUUCAACAAGUUUCGGCAUAUACGUUUGUUUUUGCUCAUCUGUACCGAAUUGCAAAAUAGUAUUCAUACAGCCUGAACUUAAACCUGGAUACAUGGUAAAUGACCAGUUCGCAGUACCCAUCAUCUCUGAUUUAAUCAGGUUUAAAGACAUUGGUAGGCCUUGACCACCAAAUUCUUCAGGAUAAGAAAGACCUUGCCAGCCACCCAUUACAAACUGGUCAUAAGCUUCUUUAAAACCUUUUGGCGUUUUAACUUCGCCGUUGUCAAAAUGGCAACCUUCUUCAUCGCCAGAUUGGUUAAGUGGAGACAAUACGUUUUCACAAUAAUCUGCUGCACCUUCAAGAAUCAUAUCUACUGUAUCAGGAUCUGCACUUUCACCAUUUGAUAAAGUUUUGUAGUGAGCAGGAUAGUCUAGUACUUCAUUCAUUAAGAAGCGGAUAUCGUGUAGCGGAGCUUUAUAUGCUGGCAUGGCUUUAAUCCUAAUUUUGAAUCAUUGUGGGAUUAUCUGAAUCGAUGAUUUGAUUAUUCACUCGCAUGAUAAAAAUACAAUGUUAAUCGCACCCGAAAGGAAUGUCAGAAAAGCGAAUUUUGUCGAAAAUAAAUACACCUGAAAUUAUAAUUUCUGCUAAAGUCGGGACUUAUACUUUUAUGUGAAAAAACAACUAAUUUUUUUAUUUUUAGCAAGUUUUGUUAAAAAGAUAAAGCGAUAAGGUUUUAAAAAAGGUUAUGCAUUUAAAAUAUCUCAGUUUAUGUUUAUUUAGUUUGGGCUUGACGGCAUGUGCACAACACGGCGUGCGUCCACAGGUGGCAUCUGCGAGUUUAGAGCAAAAAGCCAUUCAAAGUGUUAAUGCGAUGUAUGAAUACCCAAGUUAUGAUUAUCGCGGAAACUUUAAAAUUACCGUUGAUCCUUCACAAAUAAAGCAAAAUGUAAAAGCUGAGAAUACUGCUAAGCUAGAUGCUGAAUUACAAAAGAAAGUUGAUCAAUAUUUACGUGAACAAAAAGUUGCCUUAAGUAAAGCACAGAAACAAACCUUAUAUACGGCGAUUGCAAACGAACAAGGUGAUUUGGGACUGACUUCCUCAGCACGUUCUGAAAAAAUUAAUACCGUAUUAUUUAAUUUGUUAAAUGAUCUUCAGUUUAGUUAUGACGGCUCGAUACAUUAUCGUCAAAAAAUGGGUUCAUUUAAUUUAACUGCUAGAUAUGAAAAACCGACACUUUUAGUUCAGGCAAAAUUGCCAAUGGUGCUUGAUCUUGAGAAUUAUAAGUUUUACAUAAAUUAUUUUGGUUUGAUGCCAUAUUUGGUUAAUAAAGAUAAUCAAAAUAAUUUGGCUUAUGUUGAUUUCUCAAAAUAUAAAGCCUUCUUUAAAAAUGUCGAUAAGAAGAAAUUUAUUGAAUACCUUAAAGCUUCAAGUGCUGUUUCAUACCGAUUAGCUGAACCGCAAAACCUACAACGUGUAUCGUUGACUGAGGCUGAUCGUAAAGCAGGGGCGGUUGAAAAAAUUCGUUUAAAGACGACGGUUGAGCAACUACUUUUAGAAGUAGAUUUGUUUGGGCAAGUUAAUGAAAAAUAUCUUCAAAAAAGUGUUUUAGGUCUUGAUGAGGAAAAACUUGCUGAAACGCUUGCCGCAGAGAUUGCUGCUUCUGAUGCGAAAAAAGGCACUGCUGGUAAAGAAGAACAAAAGGUUUCUUCUGAUGACGCCGCUGCUGUUAGCCAACAGUUGUACUCCCUUGUUAAUGCUCAUUUAGGCAAUACUUCUACUUCUGAAGAUGAGGAAAUAGAGUCUGCUUCUAGUGAAGAGGCGAGUGAUGUAGCUGUAGCAGAGGCCGAGCAAACUUCAGAAAAUGAAGAGGUAGUUGCACUGACGGAAGAUCAAUGUAUUGAAUUAAAAUCACUUAAAAAACCGGUCGCUUUAGGGGAUAUUAAUUAUUGCCAAAUCUACGGUAUUGAUGUUCUAGAUCAGAGUGAUACAAGUAUUCAAAAAGCGCAAAUCAAGUCUCGUCAGGACGCUUUAAAGCAAACUUUUGAAGCUUAUAACCAAAACCAGUUUAUUAAUGAUGAAGCAUUCAAAGCUCUUUGGUUAAAACAUAAGGAUGAAAUUGAACAAGCUUUACCGAAGCAAAGAAACCCAAUCACAAUUGAUGUGGCUUUAGAUGACAAAGGCCGUGCAGUCAAUAUGGAUUACGAUGUUGAUUAUACGCCAGCUGAGUUUAAGCACCGCUUCAAUAUUAAAGCAGAUAUGCAAAUUCUGAAUUAUGGGAAAGCGACUUCAAUUGAUCAGCAGCAGCUUAAACAAGCUAAAUCUGUGGCUGAAGCAAGUAAAGGUUCUAUGCUGGAAAACUUUAUUAAAGGUUUUAGUGAAAAGCUUGGGCAAAGUGAUGUUUCAGAGCACCCUGUGGGCACACAUAGUGAUGUACAAGAUUUAGAUGCAAAUCUGGCUGUACUUGCAGAUAAAACCUAUGAUGCAACGCAUGCUUAUGAUAAAACUUAUAAAGCAGUAUUUAUUGCCAAAUUGACUGCCGAAAAACCGUCAUAUAUUAAGUAUUAUUCAGUUCAACAACUCCAAGAAAUUGCUGAGGUUUAUGCUUACUGGUUCUCUGAUGAAGAUACAUAUAAUCCUCAAGGAAAAGCCUUAGAGCGUAUUACCGCUUUACAGAAAAAACAUCAUCUUGAACAAGAUGAUCAGUUUGACCACGAGUUAGGACGUGCUGUAGAUCAUAUUGUAUUAACAACUAUACAAGGUAAAACAGGGCGUGAAGCUUGGCAGAAGCUACAGAAGCAAUAUAAACAGCCAGCCCAACUUUU
rnacentral:rRNA from 1 species